UAUGACUCUCGGCAAUGGAUAUCUUGGCUCUUGCAUCGAUGAAGAGCGCAGCGAAAUGCGAUACGUGGUGUGAAUUGCAGAAUCCCGUGAACCAUCGAAUUUUUGAACGCAAGUUGCGCCCGAGGCCAAUUGGCUAAGGGCACGUCCGCCUGGGCGUCAAGCA
rnacentral:rRNA from 1 species